UUCAGCCAUACCACCUCAGGCUGUGAUCUUGUCAGAUCUGAGCAGCUAAACAGGGUCAGGAUGGGUCAGUGCUUCGAUGGGAAACCUCAAGGGAGAACGUCAGGGGUUGCAG
rnacentral:rRNA from 1 species